rnacentral:sRNA from 1 species
AUUUUUUCUUCUUCUCUUUA